AAAACGACUCUCGGCAACGGAUAUCUCGGCUCUCGCAUCGAUGAAGAACGUAGCGAAAUGCGAUACUUGGUGUGAGUUGCAGAAUCCCGUGAACCAUCGAGUCUUUGAACGCAAGUUGCGCCCCAAGCCUUCUGGCCGAGGGCACGUCUGCCUGGGUGUCACAA
rnacentral:rRNA from 1 species